UACGUAGGGGUCGAGCGUUGUCCGGACUUACUGGGCGUAAAGCGUGGGUAGGUGGUCGGUGAUGUGCCGUGUGAAAGCGCCGCGCUUCUCGCGGCGAGGUCGCGGUAGACACACCGACUGGAGGCACGGAGGGGGGCGUAGAAUUCCUGGUGUAGCGGUGAAAUGCGUAGAGAUCAGGAAGAACAUCGGUGGCGAAGGCGCUCUGCUGGACCAUAACUGACACUCAGGGACGAAAGCUAGGGGAGCGAAUGGG
rnacentral:rRNA from 1 species